rnacentral:RNase_P_RNA from 2 species
GUCUUGUAUCAGAUAGUUGAGCUCCGACCUAUGCGUCGGAGUUAGGAAAGUCCGAACACAUAGCUCUAGCUUAGGCUAGAGCGCGCGUAGCGGAUAAUUCCCGUCAGGAGUAAUCCUCGAGUUGCGAACAGUGACGAACCGAUUUAGUUCGGGUGAAACGGCAAAAUACUUACGUGUGUGCAAGAUCGUGCCCGCCCACAGCUACGCAGUUGCUGGCGGGAGAAUCGCUCGAGCCUAUCAGUAAUGAUAUGCCUAGACAAAUAACUAUCGUCCCGACAUUGCGUCGGGAAACAGAAUUCGGCUUAUAGACACAAGACUGAA